ACUGAAAAAAAUACCUAGUAACUAUUACUAGUUUGGCUAGUACUUCAUUAAAAGUCCCUAGUAGAUUAUCAAACAACUAAUUAGACUAGUAUGUUUACUAUCGUGGAUGCCUCGUAUUACCAGGAACCAGCUGUGCAACUGAUAACAGGAUUUCCCGCCGGACGAUAUCAUAUUCGCGUGGCCAAGUUCUGUUGUACAUGAAGUGAUGGCCGCAAUCAAACGAAUAAAGAACCUGGGUGAUUUUUGGCCUGAUUCAUUGAAAAGCUGCUCUGAAAAAAUCACAGGGGAUGAUAAAUUUAGAUAAGAAUGAUCGACCACCAACAUGCAACACUUACUGGAACUUGAAAAACCUACAAUUUACAAGAACAAGCCAAAGACUAGUAUUACUGUACAAAGUGGUUGAGGGUAUGGUCCCAGCUAUCCAAACCUGACAAAUUAUUGGUACAAUGUAACAAGCAAUCUUUACUAAAAGGAACAUCAAGCCGACAUGCUUUGCAGACUUUGAACGUGAUUAUUUACAAAUUUGGUUAAGGCUAUUGAAACAACAAACUGUGAAAACGAGUAAUUUAAAAACUCAUUCUUCUUCAAAACUGUGAUUCAUUGAAAGAAGACGUAGUGUGAGCCAAGUCAGUUGAGAGCUUUAAAACAGCUCACCAAGGUCGUCAAUAGGAGUCCGCUCUCCCAUCAAGUUCACACCAGAAUUGGGACCUUCGAUGUAACAAUGCAGAUACAUAUAGCAUGAAAACUUUUAUAUAAUGAACAUUUAUAUUUAUAUCUAUUGAUGUUUCAGUACAAGUAUGAUUAUUUGUUUUUGUUGUGAUAUAUGACAUACAUGUAUAGUAUAAACAAUUUUGAGAAAGUGAUAUCUGUAAACAUGCCAGUUCCUUGAAAAUGUUAACAAACUUUUGUGUCAACUUAUUCAUUCAUCUAAAAAGUAUUACAAGCCAAUAUUAUAAUUCAAUAGAUUAAGACUAUAAAAUCAGUUUUGACCUAGUCCUGUUCAAGUUUAUUAAGGUCAAAAUAAGAUAAAACAAAGUUUCAUAAUAUAUAAUUUCAAUGUAGGAGCAAACGGUGAAAAUAAUUUAGAUCCUAGUGCUAUAUGAGAUGGGUGACAUGUAUUUAGAUCCUGGUGCUCUAGAGGGGUGACAUUGAGUUGGAUCUGUUUGCUCAAACUAAAAUUUACAGUGCUUUAAAAAAUAAUAAGUGAUCAUGCUUUAUAAAGUUAUAAACUGUUAGGUACAAUCUGUAUACUUACUUCCUGACAAUUUUAUUUUUACUUCUAAGUAUUUUAAAAUGUAAACUUUGAAGUCAUUGGAAGUAGGAAGACAUAAAAUAACUGAUAAAUCUUACUUUGUUCUUUUUUUUUUAAAUAAAUAUUCGAAUGAGUGUUUAUUCAUUUUGGUUUUGCAGGGAGAGCGGAUUUUUUUAAACAGGGGCCCAUACAAUAACUAGAUGGGUUGUAAUUUAUUAAACUGACGUUUUAAAUUUUUUUCAUUGAAAUAACUUUAGAAUUGUAAACUAAAUAUUCUAAAUACAUGUAUGAAGUAUUGUUAAUAUUGAUUAGGGAACAGCUUAUUAGUGGUUUUGAAACGUGAAUUUAAAUGGUUACUUUGAAGUAAAUUGAGAACAUGUUACCCAUUUGUUUGUAAUGUUGUUGGUUGGACACCUUUUCCUAUAAUUGAAAACAACUACGUUGUAUAGUCUACUCAAAUGUAUUGUGCAUCUUAUGUAAAUAAAAUAUGUAGGAUUUA